UUGUUCAGUUGAGUAUAUGGAGGGCAAAUGGGAUUGUGAGGGUGUUGGACCACCUGGUGGCUUAGGGGAAGCUAUCAUGAGACAAUAUUUACGAGAUAUUGUUUCUGGGUUAAUGUAUCUUCAUUCACAUAAUAUAGUGCAUAUGGACAUAAAGACUCAAAAUCUUUUGGUUUCGCGUAAUGGCACUGUAAAGAUUGCAAAUUUCAGUGUCAGCCAAGUUUUUGAGAUGGAAUCUUGCUUCUUGAAGCUAAUAGAAUGUUCAGAGCUGGAGGAUAUUUUGUAUGGGCAGUAUUGCCAGUCUAUAAACUUGAAGAUAACUUGCAAAAGCAGUGGAAAGAAAUGGAGAAUCUUACGUCCCAUAUUUGCUGGGAACUGGUAAAAGGGAGGGUUAUAUUGCUAUAUGGAGGAAGCCUUUGAACAACAUUUGUUAUCUGAAUCGUGAAGUUGGUGCGAAACCUCCACUUUUUGACCCGAAAAAUUAUCGAGACAGUGUCAGGCAUGUGGGACAGAAGGUCUGUAUUACAAGGGUACCUAAUAACGGAUGUGAAUGUUGUCGGAGAGAGAAUAAGUACCCUCAAUUUUGCAGAGAGGGUUGCCUCUAUAGUACUUGGAGCUGCUCGAGCUAACACUUGAACGUGAAGCAAAUACUAUUUUAUUGGAGAAGGGAUCAUUGAAGUAGCUAAAUGCUGUAUUUUACAAGAGUGAGACUAGGAACUACCCCAAGGGAAUACAAUGUGCAGAUUAUGGGUUCCAUUUAUUGACUGUCCACGGGCGAGUCGAGCUCAAUUUCUAUGAUAUCAAUGGCUCCUCAACUGCCAACGCAAUUUCUUGUUCAGACCCAGUAUGUAGUACUAUGGUUCCACCAGCAUCGUCUCACUGCUCAGCUGAAAGUAAACAGUGCGGUUACUCGUUUCAAUAUGGUGAUGGAAGUGGGACCUCAGGGUUUUAUGUGUCUACUAUGAUGUACUUUUAUAUGAUCUAGGGAGCUCUAUGAACGCUAAUUCACCUGCCUCUAUCGUUUUCAGAUGCAACAAUUAUCAAUCUGGAGAUUUGAUCAAUUCAGAACGUGCUCUUGAUGGGAUCUUUGGUUUUGGUCAGCAGGGCUUGUCCUUUGUAUCUCAAUUUUCUUCCAGGGUAAUAACACCUCAACCAUUUUCCCAUUUUUGAAAGGAGGAGGAAAUGGUGGGGUUAUUCUGGUGCUUGUAAGAUUUUGGGCCCAAGUAUUGCGUAUGGUCCACUUGUGCCAUCAUAGGAGGAGAGGAUGCUGCCAUUGUCAGAUACAUGUACACAAGGAUGACUGAAAUCACUAGAGAACUACUAGGAAAGAUACUGGAAUCACUUCACAGUUAGUGGAACUAUUGAGGUAGUGGAUGUAGACAGUGCAAGUGAUGCAAGUGAUGCAAGUGAAGGGACGAUGUAACUCUCAGAAUCACUGAACUACCAGUUCGGAAGUGGACUCAAGAUUAUAAGGAAUUUUAAAGAGAGACAGAGAUCAAAUGAUGUAGCAAAAUUAAAUGAUGCGGCGAAUAUUCGGUGCUAAGGAGUUCUUUGAGAUUUUUCAAAGAUGCUUCUGAUCAGAUUUUGACUUGACUUGCGCAGUUGUUGAUUCGUCUGCAAUAUUAGCUGAAAUUGCAAUUGCAACAGCAACAGCUCUACAAAGCCUUAUAUAUCAGAGUCGUAUGUUGCCACAAAGUUAGCCGAGGAACUAUCAUGACUGUUAUUUCUCCUUUCUCCUAUUAGGCCGGUCUUUUUUAAUUUUUCUAAACUUAGCCAUGUAAAUUUUUUAUGCUUAGCCAUGAAUUCUAUAUAUGUAAACUACAUCAAGUAAUUAGUCAU